GUGGGGAAUAUUGGACAAUGGGGGGAACCCUGAUCCAGCCAUGCCGCGUGUGUGAAGAAGGCCUUUUGGUUGUAAAGCACUUUAAGCGAGGAGGAGGCUACCGAGAUUAAUACUCUUGGAUAGUGGACGUUACUCGCAGAAUAAGCACCGGCUAACUCUGUGCCAGCAGCCGCGGUAAUACAGAGGGUGCAAGCGUUAAUCGGCUUUACUGGGCGUAAAGCGCGCGUAGGUGGCCAAUUAAGUCAAAUGUGAAAUCCCCGAGCUUAACUUGGGAAUUGCAUUCGAUACUGGUUGGCUAGAGUAUGGGAGAGGAUGGUAGAAUUCCAGGUGUAGCGGUGAAAUGCGUAGAGAUCUGGAGGAAUACCGAUGGCGAAGGCAGCCAUCUGGCCUAAUACUGACACUGAGGUGCGAAAGCAUGGGGAGCAAACAGGAUUAGAUACCCGUGUAGUCC
rnacentral:rRNA from 1 species